GUUGAACGCGUGGCGGAAUCGCUUUACACAUGCAAGUCGAACGGCAGCACGGACUUCGGUCUGGGUGGCGAGUGGACGAACGGGUGAAGUAACAUUAUCGGAACGUAUCCAAUAAUGGGGGAUAACUAAUCGAAAGGUUGGCUAAUACCGCAUACGCCCUGAGGGGGAAAGCUAGGGAUCUUCGGACCUGGCGUUAAUGGAGCGGCCGAUAUCUGAUUAGCUAGUUGGUGGGGUAAAGGCCCACCAAGGCGACGAUCAGUAGCUGGUCUGAGAGGACGACCAGCCACACUGGAACUGAGACACGGUCCAGACUCCUACGGGAGGCAGCAGUGGGGAAUUUUGGACAAUGGGCGCAAGCCUGAUCCAGCAAUGCCGCGUGCAGGAUGAAGGCCUUCGGGUUGUAAACUGCUUUUGUACGGAACGAAAAGGCUCUGGUUAAUACCUGGGGCUCAUGACGGUACCGUAAGAAUAAGCACCGGCUAACUACGUG
rnacentral:rRNA from 1 species